CCAUGAAGAGCAGACAUUUCUAAUAGGAGUUAUGCAAAGCCCAGCUCUGACUCAGCAAGGGAGAAGGGGAGAUGGCGGAAAUGUCCGGGAGGCUUGGGUUUUCCAAAAUGCACUAAAAAGGCUAUCAGUUAACUGAUCAUUACUCUCAUUAUAGCCCCACUUCUCUGCCCAGCUGUAGUGGUUGGGGAAGAAAUUGUUCCUGGUGAAAUCCACCUUCAUUUAAGUCCCAGUCCUGGAUGGAGGCAGCAUGUUGGCCUACAUUGUUUUUCAAGGGCUGUCCAGUGCGUUUCCUUUGGUUUGCCCAAAGCUGUUUCGCAAUUGCUGUUAAAAAUUAUAACUCUGAGGGAGGAUUUAUAAGGAGCCAAGAGUUUGCCUACUUGGACAACACUGGUGGGCAAUGUCCAGCUCAGGCAGUUGUCUCCUGGCUGAGAAGGAAUCACACUGCAUUCCGGAGGCAGGAGGCCAGCUCCUUUCAACAGAGGAUCAUGCCUAUGUCUUAAGAGCAAAAUCAUUGCAUCCUGGGGUCUCGCGGCCCUUGGAGAUUUCCCUGACAUGCUCCCUAAAAGAUGCUGGGAACACCUGUUGACUAUGACAUGGCAGGAAUAAUUGAAAGAGGCUAAACUGUGCUAUGGGGAGGGGUCUCUUGGUGAGAAAUAGACACGGCAAGUCAACUGGGAAAGCGCCACCAACCAGAGCCUUGGCAAGAGGGAGUCCAGUUCAGCUAUUCCCUUUUACUGGAAGGAUAGUUGGUAAGUUUCGAGUUUUCCAAACAGAGAAGUAUGCAGCUAAUUCAUUUUACAUAACCUGAAACCUCAAUCUCAAGAUACAUUUCAUGCGGACAUAUAAAAGUGUGUGAGCUGGUGCCACCUAUGGGCAAGUUGUGGUGCUGCAGCCUAGCUCUAUGAGAUGCUGGGUCCAGACAAAAAGCACAAUGAAGUCAGUACAUAAAACGUGCAAGGGAGUUUUAAAAAAUAUAUAUAGUUAUAAUUGUUUGUUGGCGUAGUUUGUUUUACAAGGAGGUAAUAAUACAAGCUCUUGGAAUUGGAGACAGAAAUCAUUAAAUUGUAUGCAAGAGGAUAGAGAAAAUUGUAUUGUAGGAAUUUCUUUCAGAAAAAAUUCUGUGUGCACAGGAAAGAAAUUCUCUGAUAAAUCUUUUUGGUCGUGGAGUAAGACGCCAGAGGCCAUGCUCCCAGGAGAGUAGAUGGUCUACUGCCUACUAAGGAAGGUGGAUCCUGUUAGCUGGCUAUAACUGACCUGGAUGGGGUAGACAAGGUUGAGGGCAAAGCUGCAUUGCUUGACCUAAUAGAAAGGAGAUGGAGCAUUUUCAGGGGAGUAUAGAAGAGGAAGAUCACCAGGGGAAGCACGAGAGAAUGGGAACUGGGAGGAUAGGUAUGUCUGAUGAGGAACAGAGGAAGGGUGUUGUGAGGGGUACAGGGUACCAUCUCUCCUGCAUUUCCUCCAUGGAAAAUCUGGUUGGCUUUCUUUGUGGAAAAUGGAUAAGGGGUUGAGAGCCUGGGUUGACCCGAGUUCUUAAUAGAAUCUUGGACUUGAAAGGGAUUUUAGGAGGUCACCAAGCCCAUUCCCACCCAAAGUAGAAGCCCCUUCCCUGAUCCCCAUGGGGGUGUGAGCAGUCUGGUUCAAACACAUCCAGGACAGUGGGCUUAGUUCUCAGGAGGCAAACAGGACCGGCAAGAACUUCUUUGCUUAAUUCAGAGGAAUUGUGAAUACGGAAGUGACUACACUAGAGGAGGGCAUAACAGCAAAGUCAUCAUAGUUACUGGGGCGAGUGUUCUUAUUGGUGCCAAGCAUUUAACUCACAUGAUCUCAUUAGAACCCCUUGGGAAAGUCGUUCCUUCUGCUUUGGGUAUAAAGAUGGAGAGGUCUUGCAGGUCCUGCUUGGCCGGCCUGUAGUCACACAGCGAGUGCGAGGAGGAGCACGCAUUUGAACUCUCGUGUCUUGAGCUUGUGGCCCUGUCACCAUGGCUUCCCUGUGGGUUUUGCUGGGGAAUCAGACCCUGACAACAUGUGUGAGAGAACACGUGUUGUGUAGAGUGUGGACUCAGUGUUGUACCUGACUGAGGUCUCCAAACUCAAGAGGAACAGAACUUCUGAAGUGGUCAAACUGUUUGCAGAGGAAACUUGGAGAGCAGAUAAUCUCUGAGAAACACUCAAGAGAACUGGGAUGAUUUCCUUUGGAGAAGGCGGAUUGUGUAAUGGGUCUUCAGGUUUAUGAAGGAUUUUUAGAGACAGUGGCCACCAGCUGUUCUUCAUCUCUACUCUGGACUGGGGAGGAGGAAAUUGGCUUAAACAGCAGCCUGAGACUGUCUAUAUGGAAGAAUUUCCUGACCCUGGAAUGGGUCAGUUCAGAAUUUAAAAAAAAAAAAAAAGGCCCUUUUUCUGAGGACACCAAAUGGAAACAAGCUUCGUCCUGGUGUAUGGGGACCACUGAGAAACCAACGCCUUUCUGCCUUACUGGUCAGACUCACUAGAUGUGCCUCAAGAUUUUGUCUCUAGAAGCACUCAGGGAUGGAGGGGGAUGUUGUGGGAUCCCUUGAGCAUCUUCCCUGACAGCUCCAAUCCGGCUGUGCCCCUGUUAUAGCCCAGGACCUCUUAAUAAUGCUGGAUCUUGCCAAGCACUAGGGAGUGUGCACAAGUAAGUGCCAAGGCUCUGUGCCACUACUCUGCCCCGGCAGUUUUCUGGUCCCUGGAAUGGGCUACGAGUAUCUCAUGGGAUUCUGGGGAGGGGGCAAGGAAAUAAUUUAUGUGUAGGUCUAGCAGAGUGCUUGGCAUCUAGUGGUGCUGAGUAAAUGAGAGGCUUCUGCUCCCACAACCCAAAUCGCUAGAAUUUCUGUGAAGUCUAAAUAAACUCCAUUUUUUGACAGUAAAAUGAGUUGAUUUUGAGUUAAGUUCUACAAGAUUACUGUCAGACCUAGGCAAAGGUUCAAGGCGCACAACUUACGCAGUAGGGGGUAAAGCACGACUUAAAAUCCCGCAGCCCUGCUGUAUGGAUGGAAUCCGAAUACACAAAGCACCUGGGGCACGGACUUGUGUGCAACUGCCGAAUGAAUGUGGAGUCUAAGGCUUGUCGUGGGAUUUGUUCUCAACUCUUGGUCAUACCCAAACCUCCUGGGAGCCCUUCCUGGGCCUCUCAGACUCUGGAGAUUUAUCGACAACCUGAACUGGCCUGUAUAUAGAGGGGAGGAACAUCCUCCCUUUUGGCAGACGUGCUAGAAAGGGAGCUUCUGCAACCUCCUCCUUUGCCUUAAUUUCCCUGGAGCAGCUACUCUGAUUGGCCAGCGCUGGCCAAAGGAGGAGGGGUCACUGAUGACGUACUACUACGCUGGUGUGUGGCUCCGCCCCUGGCUGGCUGUGUUUUCUGGAAGAAAUCUCUGUCGCAGAAGGAACUUCUCCUGAGGACAGUUGGAGAGGUGGAGCGCGUCCCAGCUAAGGACCCAUGUAGGAGCUGACACGCUUGUGCCCGCCGGAGCCGUCUCUGGAGGGUUCUGAGGUCUGAGGAGGAGGUGCCUGCCUAACCGCUAACACAGAGACCUCCCGGGCCGAUGACGGAUGAGGCCACUAGAUGGUACUUUGAGAUCAUCUUCCAUGGAGCAGGAGCAGGAUCUCCGCGGGAAGACACGCCAAAACAGAAUCUAUCAUCACUGACGCCGCCCCAGAGCCCAGGUGGCAGAGUCAGGUCUCAAAUUUUGAGCCUUGAGCCAGCACACCGUAUGAGCUCAUAGGAUUGCUGUGAGGACGGCCGUCAUGACGACUCCAGGCCGGGCCGAGUCUGACAAAGUUCUCCCACCUGCCUACAGAAUCACCUCAGCGGAGACCGGGUGCUGCCCCCUUCAGAGAGCUGCGUAAGCUUUGCGUCAUUCAAAUGCCCACCCUGACCAUUGUUUAACUUCUGCCGAAUCCAAUCUAUUGCUCUUGUAGGGGGGUGGAAAUGAUUUUCUCUCUACCCUUCGAGUACUUGGCUGAAACCCCUGUAACAAAAGACAGAUUAACAAAAGAAACACAGAAGUUUCUUAACAUGGAUACCUCAUGUCACCAUGGAAACACCCAGGGAAAAAUAAGUUAACUCCCUGAGGUGGCUUAGAAUUUGGGAUUAAAUACCAGCUCAACAGGGAAGGAAGAGGGGGUUGGUAGGCCUCUUAGGGGAGAGUCAGUGAUUUUUAGGAGAGAUGAAUGGGCCUUUGGAAGAACAGAUGGGAGGUAGAAUAAUUUGUGAUGAAGUUUGUCAGGGUGUGGGGUUGACUUCUAGUCUCUUCUCUUGUGAGAGUCAGUCCUCCCUGGGUGAUGUACCUCCCGGGAGGGGAUCUGUGAUGAGUGUUCCUUUUGGGUAUCUGGUAUCUGCCUUUAGGCAGAUAAAAGCAAUUCAGUGAAAGCCUCUCCCUGUAUUUGCCGUUUUUCAAGUGCCUACAGCUCUAAGCAAUCCGUGUAUCAAAGAGGAAGAUUUGGGGGCAGCAGGUCCUGAACUCCUGCGGUCCUAUUUUGGGGUGGCAUAUUCUGCUACCCUUCGCUCUCUCAUUUACAAGACUUUAAGCUUCCUACAUCGAUUAGGCUACACAGACAAGCCCUCUUCCGGCUCCAGCCCUGGCGAGACUGCCACUCAGGGUGAGUCUGGGGGGCUUCUGAGAAUACCGUGUGCUGGUUCUCUCAGUCUCUGUCCUAGCUGUACCCUGAGCCCACCUCUAUGUGCGAUGUUCUGUGACCUUCCCUCAUCCUUGGAUAGGUUCAAUCUGGACACCGAGAGAGAGAUGUUAGGGAACUUCAGACUCCAUUCCAAGCUUGAAAAUUCUAGAGCCCAACUCAGGUAGCUGAAAAUCUAGUCUCCAUGAAAAUCAGUCUAGAAGAUCUGGCCCUUUAGCUGGAAAUGUUUUGAAUCAUCUUAAUCACAGGACGAUGACACUCUGGGGCAAGUAUCUCCAACACCCUCAGGGCCAGCAGGGUGAUGGAAAUGAGAGAAGCCAGCCAGUGGCAUCUGUCUGUCCCACAUGCUCUCUCAACUGCAGAGUUGCUACAGAAUUCUGGCGGAUUGUUAUCCAGCGGGAAUACAAAUAUGUUGCCAAACCUUGACAUUUUUCAUUAGGAACCAGAAAGAGAGCUCUAUAUGGAAUUCUCCCCAUUUUGAAAUAUUGGUAAUUAAAAACAACAGACAAUAGUUACAACUCCAUGAUCAAUAGAACAUGUCUGGAGGGCAGAGUGAGUUUGCAGACUCUGCUCUGUGAUAGGCAUUUGCGUGAGGGGAGCAGACUGGCUAGAGCUAAAGGUAUGCAUUGAGAUGUAGCAAGAGGUCCAGCUGACUUGAUUUUAGCCUACAUUUGGAAUGAAGGGUGGACCCCAAAGGACUGACAAGUUUGACUUGUUCUGUUAAGUAAUAAGGAGGCAGCGUAGCAAGGGGGUGGGGUGGGGAGGGGAACAUGAGCUUUGAGUUCAGAGGCUUGGGUUCAAACCUUGCUCCCCUACGUAAUAGUUGUAUAAUGAGUAUGUUGCUUCACCUGAGUUUAGGUUGCCUCAUCCACAGAAUGGAGAAUAAAUCCUAACAGGGUCAUGAGAAUUAAAUAUAUGCGUAUGAAAAUGUCGGCCACCUGGUCAGCGCCUAGUUCGUCUACAUCCUUCCAAAGGUUCCAGAGUGAGGAAGAGAUUUGAUAAAAGCAGUGUUUCUGGAAGGAUGGCCAAAUGGCAGUUUGGACACUGGAGACAGAAAGACUGGCGAGGUCUCAGGCAGUGUAACCAAUUUGAGAGGACGAGUAAUUACUACCAUGUGGCCUUGGAGCCAAGCCCAUCCCCAGUGACAAGACCAUAAAAGUUGACCUCCUGGCUCCUCCACGGGUAAGGUGAUGGACAGGGUGUGAUACGCAGUGCCAACAAAAGCUUGGCCGGGCCGGCUGUCCUGUCUGCUUCCCACCCUGUCCUCGGCCUCCUAGGGCAGCCAAGAGGGGCAGGGCCUGGCCCUGUCAGGACUUAUCCAGAUGCAGUUUUCAAACCCGGACCUCAGUGCCAGCCUUGGGCCCACGCCAGACCCCGACCUUUGCUGGGUCCCCACAGACACUGCUCCUCUAUCUUGAAUAGCCAGUGAGUCUCUGCAGAGUUCUCACCAAUGUUCUGAGCUGCUUAGCAAACUCAUCUUCAGAAGACACUUCUUUUGAAAGCAGAGCAGGUAUAAGUUACAUGCAAGCAUUUCUACAUCAAAAUGCCCCAAAGCAGAGUCCUUGCAAGGAAUUAAAAAACAAGACAAAAAAACUCGAUAGUCUCACCCCUCAGGAGCUGUUGGAAGAGACACGUUUACACACUAAUCACAAUUAAACUGUCAUUGCCAGUCAACAUCACCAGCUUCCCAAAAACGUGCCUUAAAAUGAUUUUUCGCAUGCAGAGAAUCACUGGGAGGGCUUGCUGGGCCCCUCUACAAGUCUCAGAAUCCGGUCUGGAGUAGGGGCUGCAUUUCUAGCAAGUUCCAGGGUGAUGCUGCUGCUGCUGGUGAGGGACUCUACCUUCAGCAGCACUGCUGUGACGGGUUAGUGCUUACUUCGUUCACGUGCCAGGGAGCGAUCCAGAAUGCAUGGGAACCUAUUUCCCCUCGAUGAGUAAAUAGAAGCUGAGGGUAAAUGGCAGAGAUAGGAUAAACCAGUGCCUGAGCAUCUGACAUAAGAGCCACAAACUUCACUGUAAGCCAAGAAAUGGUCAAGGUGGAGGCAGUUCAUUUUAACAGGGAACCAGCUAAGUAGUUGACAAUUUAUUGGAUGAACAAUAUCUAGGGACAGACUCCACUAAGGACCCAAACUCUUUGAUAUAAGCUUUGAUACUCUUCAAGGCUUGCCGUACAAAGUGUUUGCCAGGGGCCAGCAGCAUGAGCAGCCCCUGGAGCAUGAGAACACAUUCCAAUCCCACUCCAGAACUUCUGGGUCGGAAUAUGCACCUUUCCAAGAUCGCUGGGUGAUGCUACUGUACACUCGGUUCGAGGAACACGGACAGAUCGUUCUGCCCUCACAGCUAGUGACCGGCACCAGUCACGGUCCAGGGGAGAAGAGGGACUGCCUGCCCACUUCCAGUGCUACCUGCUAGCUCCAGGGGGUGGGCAGCUCCAAGUUCUGCUCCCCCGUCCACUACCCCCGCGUAGGCACAGAAUGGCAGGCAGAGGACAAAGGUUACUCCUCACAGGUUCCCAGGCCUGGAGGCUACACUCAGUUGAGGCUUCAGAGUAGGAGUAGCAAAUGAUUUUAUUACAAAACUUAAGCUAUUUAUUGAUCAUUCAACUUUUCUAAAAAACACAAACGUGAGAAUAAAAUAAACACACCAAGACUCACUAGCCCUUGCAGGAUAAGCAGCAGCCCUGGACAGACAGCCUGCAGAUGUUUCUCCUUCUACCUGAUGUCUGCACUUCCUCACACAUUCUACGGUCCCAUGUGUUGUCACCUCUUACGGAGGAAAGGAAACCGAAGCUACAAGAUUCACGUACAAGAGGGUCAUGACAGCUUUUGAGCUAGUUGGUGCUGACAGCUUAAACAUUCUAGUUGACAGUUAAGCACUAAUUCCUACUCCAUGCUAACCUUUACUGUCAUUCUUUGGAACUGGUUAUGUUCCUCCACUGUAGCUACAGCCCCUCUAGGGAUCCCCGAGCACAAACCCUAAAAUCCACACAGUCUCCAAGUUCAAGUAUAAAGGUUUCAGGACAACCCCAGACUGAUGUAGUGUUUCUUUGUAUCUCUGUAGUGUCUACUGGCUGUCACCCCCUUUGGCAGGCUGACCAGACGGCAGCACAAUGAGGGGGCACACACGGUCCACUGUCACUGCCUGUUCAAUCUGGACACUGCCCCACAGUCAAGGCUGAACGUUGAAAUCAGUGACGACCUCAGCCUGUCUUCAUUCUGAAGUUGUCCUCUUAAGUAACCGAAUCCAUUUCUUCAUGGUUAAUUCAAUGGAGCUUCCAAAAGGUGUCAGACAUACUCUAAAAAGAGAAUCAGAUCAAGAGGCUUUUUGAUAAGAGACUACAUUUAAUUUUAUGUCCCUAAAGGAAUUUACAAUUAAACUAGAAAAACUGGUAAUGUUUUAUACUCCAUAAUGGAAUUGAGUUUGAGUUCUCCCCCGAGUACAGGCACAAAUAGACAAUGCCCCUCUUAAGGCAGUGCCCCACCCAAGCUUUGUGCUCUUGCUCUGUUCACUCACUGAUGCUUUCCUAUCAAAAAUAAUAAACAUCUUAAUGAAUCUGACAAACAGAACACCAAAGUGGAAUGAGGGGACAGGUUACUAACAAUGGCUAGGUAAGAGUCCACUGCUUACCUGCUGGUUACUGCUCACCUUGACCAAGGUCUCAAAGCCUGCAAAAAGCGUGGCUUUGUGCACCUGUAGCUGACUUUUAAGAUGAAGUUAAAUCCCAAAUGUAACAGGAAGGGGCACGCACAUAACAGAAGAAUCCCACGGUUGUUGACAGUGGUAAACUCUAAUCUCUAAAUACAAGGAAAUCCAGCAGGGCUUAAAGCAGACUGUGAGUCCCAUUGAGGAUGCCAUUUUAGAAGGCACUGUUUGACUUUAUAUUUAAAUUGCAAACCCAAGUUUAACUCAUGUCCAGGUAUAAGACUCAUUCAAUCAACUUCAGAAAAACAGGACUUUCAUUUGAAUUUCUCUUGUGCACAGCAACCAUCCCUGUUGGUUUCUAAUGAAGCAUCUAUCCACAGCUUAAAUGUUUAGCUCUGGGGGCACCUGGGUGGCUCAGUUGUUAAGCAUCUGCCUUUGGCUCAGGUCAUGAUCCCAGGGUCCUGGGAUCGAGCCCCGUAUCGGGCUCCCUGCUCUGCGGGAAGCUUGCUUCUCCCUCUCCCACUUGCCUUGCUUGUGUUCCUGCUCUUGCUAUCUCUCUCUCUGUCAAAUAAAUAAAAUCUUUAAAAAAAAAAAAAAAGUUUAGCUCUGGCGGCACAGAAGAUCACACUAACACAGGAGAAUGCUACCUGUGAGUUCUCAGUAAAAAAUGACUCUUGAACAGUAGGUGGAGUCUCUCUGCAGUAAAUGUUUUUCUGAAUAUAUCAAGAACAUGAUCCCCAAUAGUGGCUUACCCCUUUUCUAUCCAUUUUAUAUAUUUAUAAGCCAGAGAUGAAUGCUCCUGGACAAAAGACGGGAUACUGGACCUUAGGAAGCAUCCUGGGAGGGAGCUGGGGGGUCCUGGCUCUCAGGCUCUGGAGGGGGCGCUGGCACGGCUUCUUUCUUCUUGGCCGCCAGGAACUCGUGAAUCGCUCUUUCUAUCUGUGGUCUGAAGAUGUGGUUUAGUUUGGGAUCCACCACUUGAGAAAUGAUUCUGUCCACUCCAGCUUCCAACAUCCCUGACCUUGUGGAGACAAACAGACCAUUCUCUGAAGGUCCGUGCGUCCUUCCCCCAGCCACCCGUUUGCACCAUGUGUACCUGCCAUACGGUAUCACAACUGGAAAAAUGACACCAGGACGAUCCAACCUUACUUAGUUUUCACACACGUAGCUGCACUCCGUUGUGUGUUUGCCCAGGUAGCUCUGUGCCAUUUUACCCCAUGAGUGACCGCAGGUAACCGCCACCACGAUGAAGGUCUUAGUUCCACCACCACAGCAUCCCCUGGGGCUAUCCCUUUGGGGUCACACUCACCCGCCUCCUCCCACCCCCAAACCCUAGGCACCCCUCAUCUUGUCUCCAUCGCUGUCAUUGUUUAUUCACCAGUGUUACAUAUAUGGAAUCAGCACCACGCGUCUUUCUAAUACUGGCUUUUUUCACUCAGCACAAUUCCCCGAUAUUUCUAUUUCUAAAGAGGUGGGCUUCACAAGCUUUUAGAUAUUCCAGGAGAGUUCACUGGAUCAAGACCUGAACACAAGUGCUAGUAAUAAGAGCAAAAAAAGAUCACAAGCAGAUUAGAAAAAGCCAGAUGCCAUGGCCCGCCUCCGCUGCAGUGCCCAGUGACACCGAGAAGUCACCGGGUGACUGGCAGUGGCACCGAACUAAGGUUCAGGCUGUGACCGCGACAGACGUGCUUUAAUAAGGCUCCAUGCCUUCCUAAAAGCUGCUGUUCCACUUCAGACCUCUCGCCCAAGAUCCAAACACUGAUAUCUUGGUAUAAAACUCCCGCGUAUGGGCGAACUACACUGAAAACUUCAAGCAGCAGGGAAUUAGGUUUCAGAAUUUGGAGUAUCUUUCAAUGCACCCGGUAGAAUUUACACAGGAGGCCUAUGGAGGAUGGAUAAACUAGCAAGAAUGUCAGUUGAGUCCUUUGCUUACUUGAACCUUAACUUUAAUAAAGGGGUGGACUGCUGCGACUUGUGCGUGGGAUUUGCUGUAAAGUACCAUCCACCUUGACCAAAUAAUGACGCGCAUCAGCUUUCUUGUACAUCAUGCUGUGAUUACCACAUUUUCACUCUUAAUUCUAAUUACUUACUGAACUACACUCUGCCUCAGACCAUUUCGCAACUGGUUUUUGUUCAUUGUAGGAUUCCAUUCCUGCUUGUCCAGAUGUGUUGACACAAAAUUAUCCACUUUCUGCCUCAGGUUUUGGUAAGCUGGCUGAAACAUUAAAAAGAAGAGGCAAGGUAAGAAGUUACAUGCACCAAAAUCUUAGAAGUCAGUCAUUUAAGAAUACUGCUUUCCACAGAAAUGUAGAUGUUUCAAGUCCUUAAAGACACUUCCAGCAUGACGAUGAAGACGGCUCUGUAGUACAGUAGAGCAUGAAUUAACUAGCAACAAGGGCUUACUUUAUGGUGGGCAGGCACAAGGCCAGAUGCAUCAUCCCAUUUACUUUCCAAGUAAUGGUACAGGGAGGGUCUAUUAACUCUCUCCUGCCCCCAUUGUAGAGAUUAGAAAUUUAUGCUUAGAAAAAGUAAACAACUUGCCCACAUGGCCAAAAUGUGGCAAAGCCAAGGUUAGACCUAGACUGUUUCUGAAUCAGAGGAACUGGGUUCUAGCCUGGCACCAUCACUAACCGGCUGUCCAAGUCAUCAACCUUUCAGCUUCAGUUAUUUCCAUUUGUAAACCUGAAAUAUUACUGUCCCACUUGCCUCGCAGGGUAUCCUCAGCAAUAAAUAAGGGCUCAGGAAAGCCCACUGCAUAAAAUGAAGGGCCACCCAACCCCAGCAUGAUGUGAGAAUGGAGACUGAAGUCAAAGCCUAUGGAACAUUGGGAAAGGCUGAGGGGAAGCACACCUUAAGUCCAAAAAUGGAGCUUGAGGCUCUUAUUGGCUCAUAGUCGGUUUUAGACCCAACUAUGAUCAGAACAAAAUUAGAAGGAACUUGGUGAAUACAUGGAACAUGUAUUCUCAGCCUCUAAGACCUUCUGGUACGAUCAGCUGCUCUUCUUCAAACCAGGUAUAAUAGUGUGCAUUGCUGUUAGGCUUCACCCCUGCCCCCCUCUGCCUGGGCAGAGACUGCUUCCCUACCCCAGUGAUGCUGAGUUUUAGCAAUGCGACACAGUCUGGUCAAUGGAGUGCUAGUGACAAGAGGCCUUAAAUGUGGUCGUCCUCUGUCUGGCUUGGUUCUUGUGCUCUGGUGACCCUCUAUGACGGCAUGUCCUGGGACCUAAGGUGAGUUUAUAUGUAGCCCAAGCUAAACCCAAGCCCAGGCCACCUAAACCUCCCAGCGGAAGCCUACGUAGAUUAGCUGAACUUUAGCUGACCUGCAGCCCUAUCAGCAUGAGAAUGGAUGCUUAUCAUGUCACCAUGAUUUGGUUUAUUAUGCAGUGUUACUGUGGCAAAAGUUUGCUAGCAGUCAGGUAAAUGAAAGUGACAAAAAAAAUCAUCAGGCUUCAACUCUAUAGGUGGACUCUUCCAAAAGGCCAAGAGAACGGAUUCACAAACACCCAUGUACUAUCUACCUAGCAACUCCUCCUUCCUCUCCUCACAAGGGUAGGACAGAGGGUGCCAUGUUCUCCUGACCACAAAUGUGGUGCCUGCCCCUUGCUAAGACAAUGCUGAUGUUCCCUGGGAUUGUUUGAACAAGAAUUGAGAGUCCCUUUCUAGAGAAAGAAGAUGUAAGAUGUAAUCAAAAUACCAGUAACCAAAUGGAUGACUCUGCUGUGCAGUGACAGUAAAAUAUUAUAAAGAGCAGAAAUGAAAGAUGGCCCUGGAGGCGCAUCCCCGGUUCCAAAUGCAUCCCUACUCUUCUGACAGUUUGUUCAAUCAGUCCUUUCUUGGGGUGCCCAAGUCAACAGAUUCACCACUUUGCUUAAAGAAACUAGAAUUAAUUUGUCACUUGGAACUAUGCAUCCUGCUACUGUACUUUAUACUAUUCAAAAUAAGUCACCUGGUUUGAAAUGAUAGUUACUGUUUACCGUAAAAGGACAAAGGACAGCAAAUGUCACCACCAAACCUGAACAGAUCUUGACAACAUAGAACAAUCCCUUCAGUUCUUGAAGUGAAAGGACAGACUGUGCCUCCCAUUAACAUUUUAUUGCAUUAUCUAUCCCUCACUUGAUUCACUUAUCAGUUUGUUCUAUUUAUUUGUACUUUGGGUGCACUGCAAAGUAAAUUACAAACAUCAUCUGUACAUUUUCCCUGAAAUAUAUCAGCAGUUUGGGAAGGGGCCUAAGAAUAUACAUUUCUAACAAGUUCUCAAGUGAUGUUGAUGCUGCUGAUCCAAGAGGCAAACUGAGAACCAUGGGGCUAAAGCAACAGUGCCUGAAAACACAGUCUUCCAAAAAUAAAACCACCCAGGCACUAAUGGAAGGAACAUCUAAGGUGUUACGUGGGGAAGGCUCCAACUCUCUUUCCCCCAACAGCUUUACAGUACUAAUUUUCUUUCUCUCUUUUAAAAAUACCAUGCAUACCACAUUGAUUUAGCCACACAAAACAGAACAUAAGAGGUAUGAGUGGAGAACUUGUGAUGGGAAGUUGAGAACACCCAGAGUCCUGGGAAAGGUGGAAGUUCAGUUGAUAUGUACCUGAGAACCUUAAAUAAGGAAAAUUAAGCAUUAAAUAUUAAGCACUUCUAACACCACAUAGUGUAUAUAGCAUCUGGUCCACCUGUCAGUUUUCUACCCUAGAGUAUGAGCUCUGAGGACUGGUAGUGACUUACUUGUUUCUGUAUCCACACAGCCCACAUGCUGUAGGACAAUAAAUGUUCAAUGAAUAAAUGGAAGAUGUCUUUCCCUAUCUUUGAGUUAUAAUUUUAAGUUCACAAUUUUCCUGUUAGGUAGGCAGAUUCUCUUAAGAGAGGAGAAAUCACUUCCCUAGAGGGGCUCAGUCAGUAACAGAGCCUCCUAAACCUAUAACCCUAGUCUUGUUAGAAAAGCUUCUGAAAUGGGAGAGAAUGGAACAUUCCAGCAACUACUGUAUGUCUGACACUUAACACACCUGACUUCACUGAAUCUCCACGACUUUGGCAAGUAACAUGAAAUAGCAUUUUACUAGGGGAUUGACCUAUGGCAUUAGGAUCUAAAAUUGGCACCAAAUUCUCUUUAAUCCACGAUGGAGUACAAGAUAAGGGUUCUGCACCAGUGUACCUUAAUUCAACCGGACACUCAGGCCUGCAAAUCACUGAGCUAGAGAAAAGGAACAAAUUGCUACAACGUUCUGAUGAUUGUGCAUUCAAACCAUUCUCCCUUCCUUACCUGGCCUUCUCCAAUGUUCUUAACACACAGAGGUUUGUUACUGAGGGGCUUAAAGAAGUCUCAGCUUGGGAAAGACAGGAUCUAGGCUCUGAAACCAGUACUGAAUCCCCAAGUUCAGAGAAACGACUGGACCGUCACACAGCUAACAGUAAUCGGACUGGGAGUCCAACCCACGUGUACACCACUCAGAAAGCUUCCUGUACUGCCUCAAGCGGCCUAAUACCUCACUGCUGAGAUUUUUAAAAAGUAUCUUUUGUUGUUCUCUCUGCUUUAGAAAAGCCAACCUGCAACCCUGAGGUCUUCACGCCCAGUCCUACCCCGUCGGCCCCACCUACCUUGGUGUCCACGUCCGCCAGGCAAUCCCGGCGGAAGCUGUCAAACAAGCCCCGGCUUUUGAGCUGCUCCACGAUGAGAGCGAUGAGCUGUGGGUCGCCGGGAGGCAGUGAGGCCGGGUUGAUGGGGCCGCCGCUCCCACCGGCCCCCGUCGCGCCUGUCGCCGACCCCGCCGAGGCCUGGCCCGCUCCGCCGCCGCCCACCGAGCCCGCGCCCCCACCGCCGCCGCCGUCCGCCAUGGCUGCGCCCUGGGCCCACAAAGGAAACUGAACGCGACUUCUUCUCAGGGACAGAGGGCCUGGAUCGUGUAGAGGUGGCAGAAGCGCCCAAGAAGGAGGCGGCGGCGGGAGAAGAGGGUAGGGAGGGGCCGGCGGCGGAGGAGGAGGCAGGCUCUGAUGCAGCGGAGGUGGCGGUAGGAGCGGUAGAAACGGCCCGCUCCAUCCCGGGCGUUCUGCAGAUGACGUCACCAAUGGCCUUUGCAUUGUGGGGCGGGAAGUUUUCGGCAGUCAUCUCCGCCUUUUUUAUAGGUAGAGGUCUGGCUGACAGAAACUACAACUCCCGGCAGGCUCCGGCUCGCUGAGCGCUGGUUUGCGAGGGCAGUGUGGGAAUUGUAGGCUCAGGUGCUAGUGAUUGCGAGAACCUGCGCCGGCAUUCCUCGUCCGGUCACUGCAGCGCUCCCUUUGAAUCAGCAGGUCCCAGGAGGGGCCCGAUUAUGAGAAUCAUCUGUGGGACUGAGUAAAAGUAUAAAUUAACGGGUUUGUCCCUGAGAUGUUCGGAUUCAGUAUUUCUCGGUCGGGGCCUGGGAAUCUGCUUUUAAAGUGCACACCCACGCUCUCCUUGAACAAUAGGAGCCCGGGAAAUUUGGGCAACAGCGGACUAAUCAAAUUUGUAUUAUGCCAAAAUGUAUGCGGAAAUGGAGACCUUUUGUUGCCCUGGUCACAUAGCUAGAGGGUGAAGAGGCGGCUUUGAACUCAGGUUUUCUGAAUACAAAUCUUGCAGCGUUUAACCCUCCUGAGAUCUAGCGGGCAUCACACACUAGUCUUCUGGGUUCUGUGAAGAAGGAAAGAGGAAUAAAGAGGACAGCAUCCUCCCUUUUAGCAACUUCCUCUCUCAGUGGGAACCUCCUAUGUGAUGGGAACUUUCUGUCAGGAGACACUCAAGACAGACCACUGUAUGCGACUGUCUGUACGCAGUUCACAGCCAGAGAGAGCGGCCCAGGCCACAAAUGCUAGUAGACAUCAAGGUCAGCGUGGGCUAGAGGAAGGCUCCGCAGGUAGUAUGGUCCUUAAACUGAGCCUUGGAGUUUGGAAUGAUCUGGAAUUGCAAGGGUGGGCACUCCUGAUUCUGAUCAUGGGACCAGCCGGUCUCUCCCCAGAUUCCUGCUCCUGCACUCUGUAGACCCUGCCUUCUUGUUUACUUGCCCUUCUCCUCCUCAUGGCAGCCCCCUACCCUUACGUCUUUCUGGCACUGGACCUUUCCUCCCCACUUCUCUCUCACUGGAAGCAACCAGCCCUGUCACUCAUGCUCACUGCACAGAUGUUUCCCUCGGUGCCCCCAGGAGACCCAGAUGUCCUAGUGCAGCAGAAGCAAUGUGGGUGACAGAUCAUGCAUGGACUUGGAGUUCACACUGACCUGAGUCUGGAUCCUCUUCUGCUCGAGACUUGGAGACCUGGGCAAGCUGAUCAACAGGUUGGGCCUCUCUAUCAUCUCCUGUCCCUGGGGGUGAUGAUCCCUACUUCAGGGCAGCUUUCUGGAUGAAAUGGGUUAAUGCAUGGGUAAAAGGUCUAGUGCAAGUAGAGACACCCCCAAAAUACUGGCUCCGGCUUUGCCCCAGUUCAUUUCAGCCAAGCCUGACGGCAAAGAGGACUGGUGGGGGAGACGGAAGAGUGAAAGCACUGACGCUGGGGAGUCUGAUCACACGGCCCUGGCCCUGGUUCCUGUUUCUAGGAGAGGUGUCUUUUGGACAAGUGACUUAUCUGGAGUCUUCCCAAUUGCUUUGCCCUGCAUGAAACUGGAUAAUGUAUGUGAGGUGUCGCACCCAGCGGCUGACAUGUAGAGAGUGCGAGCAUCACCAUCAUGGCUGAGCCCAGGCCACGGAAACUGAAUCCCUUGGUGGCAUCGAGCAGAAUAUUUCUACCAACCUUAGAAAGAGGGUGAAAUGCGUUGGAAAUGAUGAAUUGUCUCCGUGAAGUCUUCACACAGAGUUGUUCUCCCUCUCUAGCAGAGGUCCCUGCGGGCGAGAAGCAUUUGGAAAUAGCCCCAACGUGACUGAUUUUCUUGAGUUGCCCUUUGGAGCUCGCACACAACAUUCCGUCCUCGGAACUCACGCAAUGCCAAGAGCUCCUCACGUAUCAAGAACAGAGUAACCAAACCCUGGGGCUCUGGCAUCGUGGGGUGACCCAGCACACUGACAACAGCCCGCCGGCCGGCUUUAAGCAGCACAGAGCCCAGGGGCGGGGUGCGCCCCUUACCUGCUUGUUCGAGUGACAGCAGCAGAGAUCAAAGUCUAAUGCACCGGUUAUCGUUCUGUUUUCAGGGGCCCAGCAGGAUUGAAUGGGCUGCCUCUUCCAAGGAGCCCACAGAAGGUGGCCGGGUGGGAACUGAAAGAGGAAGGAGACUCGGCUGAAGCAAGUUUUUCAUCAGGGCUCUGAGUGCCAGGGGCCUUCACCGGGACUCGGUUGAGGGGCCUGCUUCCGUUAUCUUCAGACUGCUCAGGUCCACACAAGUUUGGCAGGCAGGAGGCACAAGAACAGAGGGACCCAACUGAAUAAACCCUCAGGAAUAGAACUGCUUGCAGGAAAACCAAAGAAAUACUGGACGUCUUUUUGUGCCUCUAGACCUGCUUAAAAUGCAUGCUGCUAACAGAGCCUCUGCCCUUACUCUUGGAAAGUGGGCCAUGCAACUGAUACCAGGCAGGAAUAUGCUUACUCCCUCGCCCUUAAUGAUAUGUCACAACAGUAAUUACUAUGAUAAUAGUAACAACAAAAGCAGCUCACACAAUUGAGUGCUUACUGUAUGCCAGGCAGUCUUCUGAGCGCUUGACGGUAUGUUAAUGCACGCAGUUCUGGUUUUAAUCUUGAUUUUCCUUAUGAAUAUGUUCUGUGUCCUUGAGGAAGUUACCCACCUUCUUGAAACAAAGAGAUAUUUACAUACAUUUCAUAGGUUUGGGGAGAGAAUUAAAUAUAAUAAUGUAUGUAAAGUGUGAGUUAUAUAGUAGUUGCUCCCCGAUGGUGACCAAUAUUAUUUUUAUUAAUAAUGUGAACCCUCCUGCUUAUUUUCUUUUUUGUGCCUAUUUCCAAAGGUCUUGCCUUCCUAGGAUCUGUCCUUCUGAAACUGGGAAUGUGGAGAUCCACCUUCUCUUUCUGGACGAACUCCUACUUAACCCUCAAGACCCAUUUCAAAAGUUUCCUACACUGUGAAACCUUUGCCAGGUUCCAGAGUGCAAAACAAAUUGCGCUCUUUGCCAUGCCCCCAUCCUGGCCCUCCUCACAUCAUCUGGUAAUUGGGUCUGUUUAUGUCUGUUUCCUUGGACAGCUUGGAAGUUUCUGGAGGUGCAAACCAGUAUCUGCUGCACUCCCCUAGCUUAGCAGUUAUCCAGGUGUGGUCUGCAGACUCCUGGGGGUCUGCGAAACUUUCAGGGGGUCCUUGAGGUCAAAACUGUUUUCAUAACUCUAGGACAUUAUUUGCAUUUUUCAUUCUAUUGACAUUUGUAGCAGUAGUGGUUGAAACUGCUGGCAUUGGCUUCAGUCAAGGAUAUGACAUCAAAAUGUGCGUGGAAUCACCGUCAUACAGUUGCAUUAAAACACUGCCAACUCCACUUAAGAACGUCCUUAAUGAGGCAGUAAAAUGAUUAACUUUAUGAUCUCUCGACCCUUGCCUUUUUAAUAAUCCGUAUAAAGAAAAGUGGGAAGUACAUAUAUAGCACUUCGGCUGCAUACGAAAGCACUGUGGUUGAAGGUAAUGUCGAGGAAAAGCACGAGUGUGAUUGAAUUGUGAGCGGAAUUAGUCGUUGCUUUUUCAUGACACAUGCUUUUUACUUGAAAGAACAACUGACAAACUCCGUGGUUAUUCAGAUUUGGGCAUUUGGCAGAUGUCCUCUCAAAAAUGAAUCAAGUGAGCCUGUCACUUUAAGGAAAGCAGUAUUUGUUACCAAUGAGAAAGUUGAAGUUAGGUGGAAAUCAGAAGUUUGGAAAACCUGUUCUGCCAUUCUGAACUUGACAUCUUCUCAUUACAUGUCCUGGAAGAGAAUUGCAGUGAUACUAGUGAAUUGGAAUUUUUGAUACUGUAUAAUGAAAUGUGUAAAUGUUUGGAAGAUCUGCAUGAGUCUGUGAAGCAGUUGUUUUCAAAUGAACAAACACGAUGUUAUACAGUCACGCACGGGUAAAAGGCCCAUUCAGAGUGCGAGACGGGUACCUGGGUGGCACAGUCAUUUGGGUGUCUGAUGCUUGGUUUCUGCUCAGGUGGUGAGCUCGGGGUCAUGAGAUCUGGCCUCAUGUCAGGCUCCACGCUCAGCACGGAGUCUGCUGAAGACACACUGUCCCUCUCCCUCUCCCUCUGUCCCCUGCCCUCAACGCAUGCGUGCACUGCCCCCCCUCUCAAAUGAAUAAAUAAAUCUUAAAAAAAAAAAAAAAAG